CGGUCUAUGAUGACAAACCAAUGACAUGAAGAUAGGUGAUGACAUAAAAUGAUGCUCAAAGGAUUAUGCUGAGGCCC
ensembl:snoRNA SNORD115 Small nucleolar RNA SNORD115